UACCAAUUUAAAGCGCCAGAUCUAUUGAGACUACUUCAAAUAGAUGACGAGGACAGAGCUUAUCGAAUAUUCGGCGGGUGGCUCUAGGGUCUGCACUCUACAGACAAGGACAAAACAAGACUGUGAGGUCUACACAAAACACUUGUCAUGCAGUUAG
rnacentral:ncRNA from 2 species